UAGUAGCCGAAGCGUGGAUCUUACAAAUAGGAAACCUCUUCUCUAUACUAAACCUGACCGAAGAAUAAAAAGUCUCUCUUGUAGCCUUCAUGUUAAAUAGUGAGGCCGAACACUAGUGGCGACUUAAGAAAGAAGUCCUGCCUACCCCUACUACCAUGGAGGUUUUCAUGGAUUUUUUCUUUGAUAACUUCUUCCCUGCUUAUGUUCGAAAAAAGAAAGAGGAGAAAUU
rnacentral:lncRNA from 1 species